GAGAAACGGAGCAGCUUUGUCCCAGCGUUCAUCUUCAGAGUUUGGGAGAGAUCAUGGCUGCAUCAACCUGCCCUUGCCUCCCUUAAAAUGUCCUCAUGCUCUUUCUGCACAGGGUGCUAGUGCAGCUCAUCUUGCAGCUCUUUAAGGGUAAUUGAGAGAUGCUGCGACCGCUCAGUCCCACCGUGGUGCUCCAUAGAUUUUCUGCUGACAGUGUCAGAUGGUGUGGCCAGUUACUAAAGAUACAGCACUAUGGAAGUGAAGAGACAGCAGUCCAGACAGCAGAAAUGACAGGUCGUGGAGUGGGCACUUCCUACGAGACAGGAAGCCGUAUCAACCUUUAUAUGGAGCUCUGGCUGGCUGCAGACUUUCAUGUGCUCCUUUGUACUUUUAUUGCCGCAUUGUGUGUCGUGGAGGCGCAAAGGGACUGAUACAAUUGGCAAGAAAACACGCUGUGAAAAAACUGUUCAUGCAGCUUUGCAUUUAGUGUGAAGUGCCACCAUCAAACAAAAGUCUCUGGCUGAGUUAUGAAGAGCCUCGUGAUGCAAGCUGAAGCACUUGGAAUACCAGGCGCGCAUAAUCACUGGAUACCAGAGACACACAGCUAAAUAAGUGUGGAUCACAAAUGAUGUUCCUGCAGUGUCUCUGUGAGGAAAAAAAAAGUAGCUGGCAGAAACCCGAACUACCUAAGAUGCAUCUUCAUUGAUCUGUUUACUGUUUCAUGUCAUGCCUUAAAUGUCUAGUGUGGUUAUAAAUGGGAAAUGUUAAGGGAUAUCUGAGGAUAGUGUAACUUUCUGUUUUUAUUUAUUUUUUAAUAAAACUGAUUUG